rnacentral:rRNA from 1 species
CGAAAGCCUGACGGAGCAAUACCGCGUGAGGGAAGAAGGUUUUUGGAUUGUAAACCUCUUUUUUAAAGGAAGAAGAAAGUGACGGUACUUUAAGAAUAAGCAUCGGCUAACUCCGUGCCAGCAGCCGCGGUAAUACGGAGGAGGCAAGCGUUAUCCGGAAUGAUUGGGCGUAAAGCGUUCGUAGGUGGCAAUUCAAGUCUGCUGUCAAAGACAGUAGCUCAACUACUGCAAGGCAGUGGAAACUGAAUAGCUAGAGUGCGGUAGGGGCAGAGGGAAUUCCCGGUGUAGCGGUGAAAUGCGUAGAGAUCGGGAAGAACACCGGUGGCGAAAGCGCUCUGCUGGGCCGCAACUGGCACUGAGGGACGAAAGCUAGGGGAGCG